rnacentral:rRNA from 1 species
UACGAAGGGGGCUAGCGUUGCUCGGAAUCACUGGGCUUAAAGGGCGCGUAGGCGGCUCGCGAGGUCGGGGGUGAAAUCCCACGGCUUAAUCGUGGAAGUGCCUUCGAUACCGGCGGGCUCGAGGAAGGUAGGGGUGCGCGGAACUUCUGGUGGAGCGGUGAAAUGCGUAGAGAUCGGGAGGAACACCUGCGGCGAAAGCGGCUCACUGGACCAUAACUGACGCUGAUGCACGAAAGCUAGGGGAGCAAACAGG